GCCUGGAUAGCUUAGUCAGUUAAGUGUCUGACUCCACCUCAGGUCAUGAUCUCACAGUUUGUGGGUUCGAGCCCCACGUAGGGCU
rnacentral:tRNA from 1 species